rnacentral:rRNA from 1 species
CCUACGGGCGGCAGCAGUGGGGAAUAUUGGGCAAUGGGCGCAAGCCUGACCCAGCAACGCCGCGUGAAGGAAGAAGGCUUUCGGGUUGUAAACUUCUUUUGUCCGGGAAGAGUAGAAGACGGUACCUGACGAAUAAGCCACGGCUAACUACGUGCCAGCAGCCGCGGUAAUACGUAGGUGGCAAGCGUUGUCCGGAUUUACUGGGUGUAAAGGGCGUGUAGCCGGGUUGACAAGUCAGAUGUGAAAUCCUGCGGCUUAACCGCAGAACUGCAUUUGAAACUGUUGAUCUUGAGUACUGGAGAGGCAGACGGAAGUCGUAGUGUAGCGGUGAAAUGCGUAGAGAGUAGGAGGAACACCAGUGGCGAAGGCGGUCUGCUGGACAGCAACUGACGGUGAGGCGCGAAAGCGUGGGGAGCAAACAGGAUUAGAUACCCCAGUAGUC